rnacentral:tRNA from 1 species
GCCCUUGUAGCUCAGCUGGUAGAGCAGCGGUUUUGUAAACCGAAGGUCGCGGGUUCGAUCCCUGCCGGGGCACCA